UCAUGCAAGUCGAGGCACUCACCUGUGGGUGCCUGGCGAAAAGCUCAGUAACGCGUAGAUAAUCUACCCUACGAUUCAGAAUAACUUCGGGAAACUGAGGGUAACACUGAAUAGGUGCCUUACGUUGGAAUACAUGGGCAUUCAAAGAAAUAUAAGCAUGGUCAUAUGCGUCGUAGGACGAGUCUGCGUUCCAUUAGAUUGUUGGUGAGGUAAUGGCUCACCAAGUCGAGGAUGGGUAAGGGUCGUUAGCGCGAUAACCCUGAGUUGGAUUCUGAGACAAUAAUCCAGGGGCUAUGGCUUGCAGCAGGCGAGAAAACUGUGCAAUGCACGAAAGUGUGACACGGCAACACCCAGUGCUAGGGGCAACUCUAGCUUUUCUGAACUGUAAAGCUGUUCCGGAAUAAGGAGAGGGCAAGAACGGUGCCAGCCGCCGCGGUAAAACCGUCUCUUCGACUGGACGACAUGUUUAUUGGGCCUAAAGCAUCCGUAGGCGGACCGGUCCGUCCCAGAUUAAAGACAGCGACUUAAUCGUUUGAAGUGUCUGGGAAACUGCCGGUCUUGGCAAUGGGAGAGGCAAGCCGUACGUUACGAGUAGAGGUGAAAUUCUAUAAUCCGUAGCGGACGACCGAUGGCGAAGGCAGCUUGCUGGAACAUGUGCGACGCUGAUGGAUGAAAGCCAGGGGAGCGAGCCGGAUUAGAUACCCGGGUAGUCCUGGCUGUAAACGAUGCGGGUUAAGUGUUAAAUCGUCUCGAGAUGAUUUAGUGCCGAAGGGAAGCCAUUAAACCCGCCGCCUGGGAAGUACGGACGCAAGUCUUAAACUUAAAGAAAUUGGCGGGAGAGCGCCACAACCGGUGGAACCUGCGGUUUAAUUGGAUUCAACGCCGG
rnacentral:rRNA from 1 species